GCCGGGUGUAGUGGUGUGCACCUAUAGUCCCAGCUACUUGGGAGGCUGAGGUGGGAGAAUUGCUUGAGCCCAGGAGAUUGAGGCUUCAUUGAGCCAUUGUACUACAGCCUGGGCAACAAAGCAAGACCCUGUCUCAA
ensembl:misc_RNA Metazoa_SRP Metazoan signal recognition particle RNA